CAUGGCUCAGAUUGAACGCUGGCGGCAGGCCUAACACAUGCAAGUCGAGCGGUAGCACAGAGAGCUUGCUCUCGGGUGACGAGCGGCGGACGGGUGAGUAAUGUCUGGGAAACUGCCUGAUGGAGGGGGAUAACUACUGGAAACGGUAGCUAAUACCGCAUAACGUCGCAAGACCAAAGUGGGGGACCUUCGGGCCUCAUGCCAUCAGAUGUGCCCAGAUGGGAUUAGCUAGUAGGUGGGGUAAUGGCUCACCUAGGCGACGAUCCCUAGCUGGUCUGAGAGGAUGACCAGCCACACUGGAACUGAGACACGGUCCAGACUCCUACGG
rnacentral:rRNA from 1 species